rnacentral:rRNA from 1 species
GAUGAACGCUAGCUACAGGCUUAACACAUGCAAGUCGCGGGGCAGCAUUUCCUUAGCUUGCUAAGGAAGAUGGCGACCGGCGCACGGGUGAGUAACGCGUAUCCAACCUUCCCAUGUCCACGGGAUAGCCCGUCGAAAGGCGGAUUAAUACCGUAUGCUGUCAUUAAGAUGCAUAUAUUGAUGACGAAAGGACUGGCGGUAUGGGAUGGGGAUGCGUCUGAUUAGCUUGUUGGCGGGGUAACGGCCCACCAAGGCGACGAUCAGUAGGGGUUCUGAGAGGAAGGUCCCCCACAUUGGAACUGAGACACGGUCCAAACUCCUACGGGAGGCAGCAGUGAGGAAUAUUGGUCAAUGGGCGCAAGCCUGAACCAGCCAAGUAGCGUGAGGGAAGACUGCCCUACGGGUUGUAAAACCUCUUUUAUAAGGGAAUAAAAUACGGGACGUGUCCUGUUUUGCAUGUACCUUAUGAAUAAGGACCGGCUAAUUCCGUG